rnacentral:rRNA from 1 species
UACAGAGGGUGCAAGCGUUGUUCGGAAUUAUUGGGCGUAAAGCGCGUGUAGGCGGCAUGGCAAGUCGGGUGUGAAAGCCCUCAGCUCAACUGAGGAAGUGCGCCCGAAACUGCUGUGCUUGAGUACCGGAGAGGAUGGCGGAAUGCCCCAAGUAGAGGUGAAAUUCGUAGAUAUGGGGCGGAACACCGGUGGCGAAGGCGGCCAUCUGGACGGAUACUGACGCUGAGACGCGAAAGCGUGGGUAGCAAACAGGAUUAGAUACCCCAGUAGUCC